GACAUAUUAACUGUCCCAAAUAAGGUAUGCAGUAGAAAUUCCAGUGCCAAGCUUGACUAAAAGUGUCUUGGAGAUGCAGUGAAGUUAAAUGGGAACAUUCUCUGCUGGAAGAGUCUCUGCACCUUGAAGUCUUUAAACCAUGAUUUGAGGACUUGAAUGGCUCAGACACAGGUACAGCCAAAUAUACAGUGUCUAGUGCCUACUCGAGCUCCCGCUGGGAGAAACUAAUGACAAACAAUAAAAAAAAU